GGCAGUUAGACAAUAUUUUAAGUUUUUUGAUUAUUUAUAAAAAAGUAAAAUUUGCAUAUAAAUAUAUAAGUCAAUAACAACUACUAAGUUGAAUCUGCGAUAGCCUGGAGGGAAACUGGGAUUAGAUACCCCAUUAUUCUUGGCCGUAAAUCAAUUAUUAAUUUACCAGAGUACUAUGAAUACUAUAAAAUUUAAAACUCAAAGGACUUGGCGGUGUUUUAGACCACUUAGGGGAACCUGUCUCAUAAUCGAUAAUCCACGUUACACCUAACCUUUUUUUGCUCUCAGUUUGUAUAUCGUUGUCGUCAGGUAACUUUUUAGAAAUUAGAAGUUAGCUAAAAAUGUUAAAUUUAAACGUCAAAUCAAGGUGCAGCUAAUAAAAAGGUGAAGAUGGGUUACAAUUAUUUUAAUUAUAACAACGGAAAACCAUUAGAAUUAAUGGCUGGAAGGAGGACUUAAAAGUAAAUUAAAUUAUAUAAGUAACUUGAAUAAGGCUCUGAAAUGUGC
rnacentral:rRNA from 1 species